GUGCUCGCUUCGGCAGCACAUAUACUAAAAUUGGAACAAUACAGAAAAGAUUAGCAUGGCCCCCCCCCCAAAAAUGAAAAAAAUAAGAGUAGCCCUACAUAAACAU